CCCCCCCCGAGCGCUCCUCGCCGCCGCCAGGUCGGGGCGGAUCCACCGCCGCCGCUGCUCCGGUUUUUGCCGACGGCGGUAGAUGAUUUUCUGCGUACCAGGGUACCGGCGGAGUACUCUGGUACAGCUGGGGGCGCAACGCCGAUAAAUUUUUGACGGUGUCGCGCCGCCUUCAAGAUGUUUAUAGAUCCGCCAUGCCGCCUACUCGAUGACUAGCAGGGUGUCCUUUCUCCCUUAAUCAGUGAGGUCAUCUGUUCAAGGUUGUAUCUCACUUUAAGACUGAUUUUUCAUCGGAGGACGCUUCCACCAAGGACCAGAUCCGCCGCUGAUGGUACGAAGCAGAUGCAAUCUUCCGGGCUCGGAGAGGAUCUGUCACAAAAGGGCAGAGCGGCUCCACAUGGAUCGAGUUCCCGGGCCUUGUCCUUGCGCCCGAAUCCGUAAAGUUUGGCUGGUCAGUUCCAUACGGAUCGAGUUAUUGGGUUCUUGGGGCUCGUCCUUGCGCCCGGAUCCGACAAGCGGAACUGCCCCGGAUCGAAAAAGCUCCGAUUCAAUCUGCGGAUUGGCUGCUUCUUGGGCCUGGCCCGUUACGCGCGCUCUCCAUACCAAUAUGCACGAAGAGAUGCAGCAAUGCGCGGCCCAAGGCCCGCUACCGGAACCCACCGGACCCCCCGAGCCGUUUAUGAGUCUCCGUUUCGUUCCCCUCCUUACUGCGGCUCCUUGUGGCUCCGGUCGGGUGGGCUGGCGGAAGGGCGGGGGGCGGAGGGCCGGAGCCAACUGGCGGCGGCGGCUGGGAGACACGGCUGCGGGGAAGCGGAACGCACUGGCGGUGGCGGCGCAAUCUCAGUGGUCAGGGCGGAGGGCCGGUGGCCACUGGCGCCUGCGGCUGCGAGACACAACUGCGGGAAGCCAGAGCUGACUGGCGAGGGUGGCCUGAGGUAACAAUCUGAGAGGUUGAUAAUGGCUGAUGCUAGUUACCGCCGAAGACUGCGGGAUGCAGAAAAGUGUCGCAAUUGUGAGAAAACUGUCAUUUCUCAAACUGAAGACAUUUUUCGCAGGCCCGUCAACAUCCAGAGGCACCUGAAUGACCUUUUCAGAAUAGAAUUUCCCUUAAGACCAACUCCAGAUCAAUUUAUGGAAUUCUAUAGAGUUACUCGGGAACGCUAUGAAGCAAUCUCUUUUAUGUCAGUUCCUGGAGUUUUAUAUGAUGGCAGACCUGUUCAGAUCCCAGUCACGGCCCCUAGUUACAUCGGGGAAGAGACUUACCACACCAUUGUCAUACGCCUUGACAAUGGAUAUGUUGUGGAGUUUCUUGUUCAAGAAUCAAACAAUUAUCUUGUUGGGCUUAGAGUAUAUCGGAUUGAAAAUCAGAGAAAUGCUGCCCCUUGGUUUGUAUUCAAGAGAGUGACAUUACCUCCCUACUUCGGACAAUGCAUACCAAUCAGCUAUCCCUUGAGCUACAGUAAUGUUGAUUAGCGAAACGAAACUUUGUUUUGUACCAGUGGCUUGGUCUUAUUUGGAGCUGGAGCUGUCUCGGCUGCAGUGGACUUCUUUUCCACAUUUCUGGAAAAUCCUCACCAGCAGUCUACAGAUCAGGGUAAACUGCACUGCCAGUUAUUCUUUCUGCUGUUUGGUGAAGGACCCCGGUUCCGUAUUGCGCAGCAGUGGGCUAGAGACAAUGCUCUCAAUGCCAAUUGGCAAAAUCCACAAGCUGUUCUUCUCGAACUACUGCAUGAUUAUUCCAAGCUAUCUGAUUGUUCGCUUCACCUCUAUCAGUAUUAUGUUGAGAUCCCUUUUCUUGAUGCCCUUUCGGACGACCUGAAGGAGCUCAGUCCUUUUGCUCGUACCCUGUCUGAUGCUAAGAAUAGCUGGGAGCAAUUUGAGGCCAAAUACGCCAAAUUUGAAAAUUCUGGCUUGGUCUUCCGAAGAUUAUGUUGCAAUCUUUGGUGGGCGGUGAACUGUUGCUUCUCAAUUACAAUUACAAGUUUUGCACAAGGAUUCAGAUGAGACAAGCAGGUUAUGAUGGUGAAUGGUUUGAAAGGCUUCACAAGUAGAGCAUUGGCUAAAACUGAUGUAAACGACUCAAUUUUGGUACUAGCGCAGUGUACUGAUUCCAGCUGACUUUGGUAUCACUGUUUAUAGUUCAAACUUUGUACUGAACUAUUUCUUCUAGGACAAGCUCUGAAGGAAAGCCUUAGGACAAGCCUAUAUGAACCCCUGAGCUUCAGGUUGCUCCAACAACUGUUGUUGUUUGACAUUUUUGUGUGUGUAAGCUCUGAAGGAAGCCUAUACCGAACUAUUUCUUCUAGUUCUUUUGCUUUUUAACUCUUAA